UACGGGGGGGGCAAGCGUUGUUCGGAAUUACUGGGCGUAAAGGGCUCGUAGGCGGCCAACUAAGUCAGACGUGAAAUCCCUCGGCUUGACCGGGGAACUGCGUCUGAUACUGGAUGGCUUGAGUGUGGGAGAGGGAUGCGGAAUUCCAGGUGUAGCGGUGAAAUGCGUAGAUAUCUGGAGGAACACCGGUGGCGAAGGCGGCAUCCUGGACCAUUACUGACGCUGAGGAGCGAAAGCCAGGGGAGCAAAGCGGG
rnacentral:rRNA from 1 species